GUAUGAUGCUGCUGCCAGCCCGCGCUCUGACUGCCUUGACGCCGGCGGCCUGUGUCUGACACAGCGCACAAUUUCAACCGGGUCU
rnacentral:ncRNA from 1 species